GACAGAGGGUGCGAACGUUGUUCGGAAUUACUGGGCGUAAAGCGCGUGUAGGCGGCAGCGCAAGUCGGGCGUGAAAUCCCACGGCUCAACCGUGGAAGUGCACUCGAAACUGCGCAGCUAGAGUCCUGGAGAGGAAGGUGGAAUGCUUGGUGUAGAGGUGAAAUUCGUAGAUAUUCGCAAGAACACCAGUGGCGAAGGCGGCUCACUGGCCCGGUACUGACGCUGAGGCUGCGAAAGCGUGGGGAGCAAACAGG
rnacentral:rRNA from 1 species